rnacentral:rRNA from 1 species
AAUGAACGCUGGCGGCAGGCCUAACACAUGCAAGUCGAACGCCCCGCAAGGGGAGUGGCGCACGGGUGAGUAACGCGUGGGAAUAUGCCCUUCGGUUCGGAAUAACACAGGGAAACUUGUGCUAAUACCGGAUACGAUCUACGGAUGAAAGAUUUAUCGCCGAGGGAGUAGCCCGCGUAGGAUUAGCUAGUUGGUGAGGUAACGGCUCACCAAGGCGACGAUCCUUAGCUGGUCUGAGAGGAUGAUCAGCCACACUGGGACUGAGACACGGCCCAGACUCCUACGGGAGGCAGCAGUGGGGAAUAUUGGACAAUGGGCGAAAGCCUGAUCCAGCCAUGCCGCGUGAGUGAUGAAGGCCUUAGGGUUGUAAAGCUCUUUCGCCAGGGAAGAUAAUGACGGUACCUGGAGAAGAAGCCUCGGCUAACUCCGUGCCAGCCGCCGCCGUAAAAC